AUACUUAGCCGACAGGGAAGAGACCAUGAUUACAAAGAUCAAUUUCCCAGGGCAAGGCUUAUCCACUGCACCCAGGAUGUACUGACUCCUGUGAUUUCCCCCCAAAAUGGGAAAUUCAACUGCAGAAUUUGUGGUAAUGAGGGGCUGCACUCAAGCUCUCCCCUG